GGUUGAUCCUGCCAGUAGCAUAUGCUUGUCUCUGAGACUAAGCCAUGCAUGUCUAAGUAUAAAUUAAUUUUUACGGUGAAACUGCGGACGGCUCAUUAAAUCAGUUAUAACCUACUUGAUCGUGUGACUUUAUUCGGAUAACCCUAGUAAUUCUAGAGCUAAUACGUGCUAAAAGCCUUGACUUCCAGCAAUGGGGGAAGGGGUGUAUUUAUUAGAAACUAAAACCAAUCAGCUUCGGCUGUUUGAGAUGAUUCAUAAUAACUCGGCAAAUUACGGGAAAAUUCCUGUGAUG
rnacentral:rRNA from 1 species